rnacentral:rRNA from 1 species
GUUUGAUCCUGGCUCAGGACGAGCGCUGGCGGCGUGCCUAAUACAUGCAAGUCGAGCGAACAGAUAAGGAGCUUGCUCCUUUGACGUUAGCGGCGGACGGGUGAGUAACACGUGGAUAACCUACCUAUAAGACUGGGAUAACUUCGGGGAACCGGAGCUAAUACCGGAUAGGAUUUUGAACCGCAUGGUUCAAUAAUGAAAGACGGCCUUGCUGUCACUUAUAGAUGGAUCCGCGCCGUAUUAGCUAGUUGGUAAGAUAACGGCUUACCAAGGCAACGAUACGUAGCCGACCUGAGAGGGUGAUCGGCCACACUGGAACUGAGACACGGUCCAGACUCCUACGGGAGGCAGCAGUAGGGAAUCUUCCGCAAUGGGCGAAAGCCUGACGGAGCAACGCCGCGUGAGUGAUGAAGGUCUUCGGAUCGUAAAACUCUGUUAUCAGGGAAGAACAGACGUGUAAGUAACUGUGCACGUCUUGACGGUACCUGAUCAGAAAGCCACGG